UACAGACUUUUGGCCCUGUUUUGGCCUGGUGGGCGUGGCUACACAGAGAGGGGCGGGGAAUCAUGAGUGACAGCAGACCGCUGCAGGCUCAAGAUGGUCCAUUUUUCAUGUUGCCUUCAGGAAACCUGGGAAUGAACAUAAUUUAUCAAACACCUCCUGCACUGUAUUAUUUGAUAAUGUUUAGAAAACAUGUCAUGCAUAACUGCUAAAACUCAGUUACUAAAGCUCUUUCAAGCAGUAAUGUGUACAAAUUACGCCGUAACUGAUCAAUUAUGAGACGUUUUCCCAGCCACUACGUGAGAAGUGGUCAUUUCCCAUGCUCUCAAAGUAGCGCGCAUUGUAUCGGAUGGGGGCUGCUGUUAACUUGUCCCUCAGUGAACGAUGGCGUCGUCUUCCAACAACACUGCUGGCGCGAACAAUCAGCUCAACAGAAACGCCUCGCUAUCAUUUUCGGCUGAAAGGGUUAGGGUUAGGGUUAGUCCUAUAGUCAAUUCAGAAUGGGUCUGCUGGAGGCUUUUCAUCUUGGCCAGGAAUUUAACAAUGUGUAAAGCAUAGCAUUGUCUAUCAAUAGUUUUGAGGUGUAACUCAAAAUGCUGCUCCUUCCAUUUAAUGUUCAGGAAGCACAUUUCAAAGUUGGAGAUUGACAGCCAGAGUUCUUUAAUGAGUGGCAUGAAGCACACAAAAACAUACAGGUUUACUGUUGAAAAAUGUGCCAGAGACAAAAAAAAUAGUUUGUAAUGUGAUGCUUGAGUGUUCACAUAAAAAUUUCCUGGCAGGUUCAUUUUACAUGUAUAUCACAUCAAAUAAAAGUCUGAGCUAUUCAUGAACCUUCUCUGGGUUGAAAAUUCAAAAUAAAAAUGUUGCCGCCUAGGAACGGUGAGUUAGUACAAAGUUAAGUACAUCCAAAUAAAUGUCUCGGCCAUGUGA